AGACCCGAAACCCGGUGAUCUAGCCAUGGGCAGGUUGAAGGUUGGGUAACACUAACUGGAGGACCGAACCGACUAAUGUUGAAAAAUUAGCGGAUGACCUGUGGCUGGGGGUGAAAGGCCAAUCAAACCGGGAGAUAGCUGGUUCUCCCCGAAAGCUAUUUAGGUAGCGCCUCGUGAAUUCAUCUCCGGGGGUAGAGCACUGUUUCGGCUAGGGGGCCAUCCCGGCUUACCAACCCGAUGCAAACUGCGAAUACCGGAGAAUGUUAUCACGGGAGACACACGGCGGGUGCUAACGUCCGUCGUGAAGAGGGAAACAACCCAGACCGCCAGCUAAGGUCCCAAAGUCAUGGUUAAGUGGGAAACGAUGUGGGAAGGCCCAGACAGCCAGGAUGUUGGCUUAGAAGCAGCCAUCAUUUAAAGAAAGCGUA
rnacentral:rRNA from 4 species